CCUACGGGUGGCAGCAGUGGGGAAUAUUGCACAAUGGGGGGAACCCUGAUGCAGCGACGCCGCGUGAGUGAAGAAGUCUUUCGGUGUUUAAAGCUCUUUUAGCAGGGAAGAAAAUGACCGUACCUGAGGAAUAAUCCCCGGCUAACUACGGGCCACAAGCCGCAGUAAUACGCGGGGGGCCAGCGUUAUCCGGAUUUACUGGGUGUUAAGGGGGCGUAGGCGGCAUUGCAAGUCCGGAGUCAAAGCCGGGGGGUCAACCCCCGCACUGCUCUGGAAACUGUACGGCUGGAGUGCAGGAGAGGUAAGUGGAAUUCCUGGUGUAGCGGUGAAAUGCGUAGAUAUUAGGAGGAACACCGGUGGCGAAGGCGGCUUACUGGACUAUAACUGACGUUGAGGCUCGAAAGCGUGGGGAGCAAACAGGAUUAGAUACCCGAGUAGUC
rnacentral:rRNA from 1 species